AACUAAGUGCCCAUUCUGAUUAACAAUGGUUUUAUCUGUGCUGCUUCACCAUAAAGCCGAGCUUGGCGUAGCUACUGAGCGUCAGUUGUUUGAGUCUCUCCAAUCACAGUGUCACAGUUUGUAACAGCUUAGGAACUGGAUGCUGGUUGCUUCUAAGACAACUUGCAGCUGUUCUGUCACAAAUGACCAUUCCAACAAAGUUGUAUUUACAGCUGCUCAAG